AAGGUCCUGCUUUGCUCGUGAUGGCCGGAGUGUCGCUUGGGCCGAUGUUUUCUAAUACCAAGCGAGCUGCGACGCUGCGCGGUGUGCAUGCCUCCGUGGUGAGGAAGCCUAAAGCGCGGCUUACAUAGCGGUUCCACCUGUCCAACAGGUCCGUUCGACCUCCCCACACGGCAAAGCGGGGAUAAU
rnacentral:other from 1 species